CCAGACUCCUACGGGAGGCAGCAGUGGGGAAUAUUGCACAAUGGGGGGAACCCUGAUGCAGCGACGCCGCGUGAGCGAAGAAGUAUUUCGGUAUGUAAAGCUCUAUCAGCAGGGAAGAAAAAUGACGGUACCUGAGUAAGAAGCACCGGCUAAAUACGUGCCAGCAGCCGCGGUAAUACGUAUGGUGCAAGCGUUAUCCGGAUUUACUGGGUGUAAAGGGAGCGCAGGCGGUGCGGCAAGUCUGAUGUGAAAGCCCGGGGCUCAACCCCGGGACUGCAUUGGAAACUACCGAACUAGAGUGUCGGAGAGGUAAGUGGAAUUCCUAGUGUAGCGGUGAAAUGCGUAGAUAUUAGGAGGAACACCAGUGGCGAAGGCGGCUUACUGGACGAUAACUGACGCUGAGGCUCGAAAGCGUGGGGAGCAAACAGGAUUAGAUACCCUGGUACAC
rnacentral:rRNA from 1 species